rnacentral:lncRNA from 1 species
UAGAAAUUCACUGUCAAUCUAAAAAAGUGAGAACUUAAACAAAGAAGCACCAAAGUAUGGUACUUAGAAGUACCAUAGGUGAUCAAUGUCAUUUCUCUUUCAAGGGAAGACGAUUAAGGCUGCAUGAAGGAUGAAGUAUGAAAAAUGCAUUGGAAUGCCUGUUAAAAGAGGCUGUCAGAAAGCAUGGUGUGUCUUGGAUUACAUUCACCCAAGGACUGUCAAGAGCACUCACAAAGCAGGAAAAGUCAACCAGAGCAUCCAGAAGAAAUAGCAGUGGACAAGAUGUUAGCAGAGCGAGAAGUUCAGGAGAACUGGGGGGCAGGCAACAGGAGAAUUAAAGUAUUUCUUCCAUUUCAAAGUUUUGGUGUCUGGUAUAAACCCUGUCCCAGCCACUCUCAGCAAUCUUUAACAGAUGUGCUGUGAAUUGGACAUUUUUGCACCUCCCAUGACUGCUAUAAAUGCCCAAACUCCAAACAGUUACAAUGCAGCAGCGCCUAAGAAGCUACCGCUGUUCCCUAGAAAAAUUAGAAAACAUAAUCUAUUAUCUAUAAUCUAUAAUCUAUAAUACAUAAUCUAUAACAUAAUCUGAAGCUGCAGACACAAGUCCUCUUCCAAGCUCUGUUGCCCUCCCAGCCCAUGCCCAGCUGAUCUCCGUCUUACUGCUCAAGGUUUCUCUCACACACAGCUGUUAGCAAUAUCCCUACAUGAUCACUCCCUGACCUGGCUCUAUCAUAAUGAGCUUGAAUUGCUUAAACUUUU